CUAGACAGGCGGGCCUUGAUCCCGCAAAAAUUUAAUUAACAGCUAAACACCCUAUCCAGCGGGCUUCUGUCCG
rnacentral:tRNA from 1 species